rnacentral:rRNA from 1 species
CAGGUCACUCCUACGGGAGGCAGCAGUGGGGAAUCUUGCGCAAUGGCCGCAAGGCUGACGCAGCGACGCCGCGUGGGGGAGGAAGGCCUUCGGGUUGUAAACCCCUGUUGCCCGGGACGAACGAGUGGUUUCGACCACUGUGACGGUACCGGGUGAGGAAGCACCGGCUAACUCCGUGCCAGCAGCCGCGGUAAUACGGGGGGAGCAAGCGUUGUUCGGAUUUACUGGGCGUAAAGGGCGCGUAGGCGGCCACCGCAAGUCGACUGUGAAAUCUCCGGGCUUAACCCGGAAAGGUCAGCCGAUACUGCGGGGCUAGAGUGCAGAAGGGGCAACUGGAAUUCUCGGUGUAGCGGUGAAAUGCGUAGAUAUCGAGAGGAACACCUGCGGCGAAGGCGGGUUGCUGGGCUGACACUGACGCUGAUGCGCGAAAGCUAGGGGAGCGAACGGGAUUAGAUACCCCGGUAGUCCUAGCCUUAAACGAUGAAUGCUUGGUGUCUGGGGUUUUAUAGUCCCCGGGUGCCGUCGCUAACGCUUUAAGCAUUCCGCCUGGGGAGUACGGUCGCAAGGCUGAAACUUAAAGGAAUUGACG